AUUGAACGCUGGCGGCAUGCUUUACACAUGCAAGUCGAACGGCAGCACGGGGGCAACCCUGGUGGCGAGUGGCGAACGGGUGAGUAAUAUAUCGGAACGUACCCGGAAAUGGGGGAUAACGUAGCGAAAGUUACGCUAAUACCGCAUAUGCCCUGAGGGGGAAAGUGGGGGAUCCGCAAGGACCUCACGUUUUCGGAGCGGCCGAUAUCAGAUUAGCUAGUUGGUGGGGUAAAGGCCUACCAAGGCGACGAUCUGUAGCUGGUCUGAGAGGACGACCAGCCACACUGGAACUGAGACACGGUGCAGACUCCUACGGGAGGCAGCAGUGGGGGAUUGUGGACAAUGGGCGCAAGCCUGAUCCAGCCAUGCCGCGUGAGUGAAGAAGGACUUCGGGUUGUAAAGCUCUUUCAGCCGGAAAGAAAACGCACGGGUUAAUACCUUGUGUGGAUGACGGUACCGGAAGAAGAAGCACCGGCUAACUACGUGCCAGCCGCCGCGGUAA
rnacentral:rRNA from 1 species